GAGUGAACGGGUUUGCUCCUAACCCACUGUGUCCUGAGCCUGUACGGCUCAUCAGGUUCAACCAGAAUGCCGAACUCGAAGGCCAGCCCUGGAGUGAACGGUUGGCCAACCUGCUCAAGCCCCUUGGCCCUGCCCAGAAGCCGGGGAGGGAGCCAGCGCAGUGGAGGGGGGCAAUAAAUCGUUUGGGGAGGCUGCUCGCGGCUGGCUUUCAACAGGACAGAAGAAGCUCGUCAAAGCGUCAGAUUUUCGUCCUGGGCCCAUGUGCUUGUGAGGGAGGAGCACCGCCAUGCUGAACUGCCGUCUGUACUGGGGACUCGCUUCCUCCUCGGACAGAAACACGGACUAGCACUCCUAGGUCUUUGCGAGAUAAGCCGGAACUCCCUGUCCUGGGAGGCUCCUUGGUGAUGUCAAGUCAAUCCCAAACGCCUUGCCCUCGUUUAAACGCCACGGGAUGCCAUUGUGCCUGAGGGAGGCGUAGAGAGCCUCGACCCGCUGGAUCUGGCUUCUGUGAGGGCUUAGCUCAGGAAUCCCCAGUCCCUCCUUGUCCCUCCCCUCCUCGGGAACCACCUGCUCUUGCCGCGUCCACCCGGAUGUGUUUUUUGCCGCUGUAAGCCCCCUUCUCCCUACACUCGGGGCUGCGGGGUCUUUGAGAGCCAGUGGGUCCUCCCGCAGGGGCCGGCAUAUUGAUCGGUAAAACGCCAAUAAAUUGAGCUAUGUC